AUGUGUGAUGGAAUAAAGGAUAAGCAGAUGGUGAGGUGGCAUAGGAACAGGGAGAGUGGAAAGAAAGCUAGAUGGGACAUAACACCCCAUUAUAGUGAGAAGCUAGAGGUUGAGAAGGAGAGGGCCAAAUAUUGCAAACCAAUUCAAGCUGGUGUGGACUUGUGGCAAGUUACAAGUGGGCAGCAAAUCCAUGCUGUUAACUUGCAAAUGCACACAUGUGGGUGCAGAAAAUGGGACCUAAGUGGCAUCCCAUGUAACCAUGCCAUCUCAGCAAUAAACAAGGCCAAAAGAAAACCAGAGGAUUAUGUCAGCAAGUUCUUCAAGAAAGAAAUUUAUCUGGUAGCUUAUGAACCAAUGAUCUAUCCAGUUCCUGGUGAGCAUGACUGGACAAGGACCCCUGGUCCAGACAUUGACCCACCUGCAUUUAAAGUGAAGAGAGGAAGAAAGAAAGAGAAGAGGAUCAAGGGGAAAUUUGAAGUUCCAAAGCCUAAGGUGACAUCAAGAAUGGGGACUAUAACAUGUGGCAAUUGUGGACUGCAAGGACAUAGGUACACAAGCUGCAACAAGCAGUUGAAGCCUGAGCUGGCUUUGAGGAAGAACAAACAUGUGCCUCUUGCAAGGAAUUCCAAUGCUGGUGCUGCUGCUACUACACCAGCAUCAAGAACUUCUCAUCCAACUCCUACAACAACACCAACAGCUGGAACAGGAGCUGGGAGAGGAGCUGGGAGAGGAGCUGGGAGAGGGGCUGCAGCUGCAGCUGCUGGGAGUGGUGCUGCUAGAGGUGCUGGUAGAGGUGCUGCACCAGGUGCUGGGAGAGGUGCUGGGAGAGGGAGAGGUACAUUCUCUGCCCCAAGGCAAUCUGGUCCCUCCACAUCUACUGCUCCCUCCACAUCUACUGCUGGGAGAGGUGCUGGUGGUACACAUAGUGGAUGGAGGAGCUACUUCUAUGCAAGUGGUAACUAG
rnacentral:rRNA from 1 species